rnacentral:rRNA from 1 species
GACGAACGUUGGCGGCGUGCCUAAUACAUGCAAGUCAACUGAAAUACCGGUAGCAAUACUGGUAUGGAGGUGGCGCACGGGUGAGUAACACGUAGGUAAUCUGCCUUCAGGUCUGACAUAACCCAUCGAAAGGUGAGCUAAUAUCAGAUGAUGCAGCGGCUUGACAUCAAGACAGUUGUUAAAGCUUCGGCGCCUGAAGAUGAGCCUGCGUCUGAUUAGCUAGUUGGCGGGGUAACGGCCCACCAAGGCUGCGAUCAGUAGCUGGUCUGAGAGGAUGAUCAGUCACACUGGAACUGAGACACGGUCCAGACUCCUACGGGAGCAGCAGUAAGGAAUAUUGCUCAAUGGCCGAAAGGCUGAAGCAGCAACG